rnacentral:rRNA from 1 species
CCUACGGGUGGCAGCAGUAGGGAAUAUUGCUCAAUGGGGGAAACCCUGAAGCAGCAACGCCGCGUGGAGGAUGAAGGUGUUCGGAUUGUAAACUCCUUUUGGUAGAGAAGAGAAUGACGGUAGCUAACGAAUAAGCACCGGCUAACUCCGUGCCAGCAGCCGCGGUAAUACGGAGGGUGCAAGCGUUACUCGGAAUCACUGGGCGUAAAGAGCGCGGAGGCGGGAUAGCAAGUCAGAUGUGAAAUCCUAUGGCUUAACCAUAGAACUGCAUUUGAAACUGUUAUUCUAGAGUAUGGGAGAGGUAGGUUGUAUUCUUGGUGUAGGGGUCAACUCCGUAGAGAUCAAGAGGAAUCCUCAUUGCGACGGCGACCUGCUAGAACAUAACUGCCGCUGCUGCGCGACAGCGUGGGGAGCAAACCGGAUUAGAUACCCGUGUAGUC